UACAGAGGUCUCGAGCGUUGUUCGGAUUCAUUGGGCGUAAAGGGCGCGUAGGCGGCGGGGUAAGUCUGGUGUGAAAUCUCGGAGCUCAACUCCGAAAUUGCACUGGAUACUGCUCUGCUAGAGGGCUGGAGAGGAGAUCGGAAUUCACGGUGUAGCAGUGAAAUGCGUAGAUAUCGUGAGGAAGACCAGUGGCGAAGGCGGAUCUCUGGACAGUUCCUGACGCUGAGGCGCGAAGGCCAAAGGAGCAAACGGG
rnacentral:rRNA from 1 species